UCCUAAAACCUUAGAGGGAAACCUUUGGUUAUUCAUUCUAAAACCUAAGUCCUUAGGGAAAUAUGAAGAAACCAAGCUUUUUGAAAUAACAAGAUAUAACCAGUAACCAUAGGGUAUCCUUAGUCCCAGGUGAUAUCUACUAUAGUUUAAUUGUGCAAAAAACCUAACAAUUGCAAUCCCGCAAAUUGCUAACCAUAUAACAAUCCUUAUUUUUCUGAUAAUGAAAGCAUUAACAACAUUGCACAGUUAAAUUGAAUAAUAAACAUAACAUUGAGGGAAUUAACAAUUCAAAGUUAUUACAUGAUCAAAUCAGGGACACCCCCUUGGCAUUGGGGGGUUUAGCCGCUCAUAUUAAUCAAAGAAAAUACAAUAUUUAAAUUAGACAUUACAAUAAAUGGGGAUUUCGUUGAUCUUCAAUCGUGUUCACUCUUGAAGGACCUCCGUUCUCCGAAACUCUUGAUCGUACCAAUCUCAAUCGUCUCAAUCUUUCGCGUGCAAAAAGUCCCCUUUCUUUUCCUCAAAAAGUACCCUAAGUAGUCAAUGAUCAAUUAAUCGAUGUAGCAAAUACCCAAAACACCCUCUGAGGUCAACAAUUCUAAAAAUCCAAUAAAAUUAGAAGAUGAGGCGUCUAAGCUAACACUGAUCGUGUCAGGAAACACGGCCGGCCGUGUUGGCUUACUGCUUCUGGUUUCCAAAAUGCCCAAGCCAAACUUGCUGACACGGGUCGUGUCAACUAACACGGGCAGCCGUGCCAACCCACUGUUUUUCUCCUUAUCCUCCUCUUUUAUCCUUCCCCUUACACGGGCCAUGUCAGGUAACACGGGUGGCCGUAUCAGGGCCACUGUAUCUUCAAAACUUCUUCCCCAUGAACCCGGAAUGCCCGAUUCCCUUGGCGAGUCUUUGGGCAUUCUUGCUUGUACCUGAAAACCAACAGAACUACCAAAAGAAAGCAUAAAAUGUAGUACAUUGACGAAAACCAAAGAUAAUAACCAAACGCGAACGAAAAUGUAAACAUCCAAUUUGCUUGACAAAAUAAAUAAAAAAGUAAAACAAAGUGUUACCGACUUCGUGAAAUAAUGUCGAGUGAGUGUCAGAAAACUAGUAGAAGUGGUGACCGAUCAAAAGGCCAUGGAUACGUUAGAACAUUUAAAGGCACGGGAAGAAUAUGCACUUUAUCAGCAUAGAUUUGGUAUUUAUGACAUGAUUUGGCGUGAAGAUGGCAGUCAGUCUCCAUAGUCAUCCAAUAACUGCCUGCUCUCAAAAUCCUUUUCACUAUGGUGUGACCACUAGAGUGUGUUCCAAACGCACCCUCAUGGAUUUAUUCAAUUGGUUUUGUCUGCUUCGUGUUUUUUGGUCAGGGAUAGUUGCGUCCUCCGAGUAUUCUUGUUUUUCCAGGUAUCUUUUGAUAUCAUAGAACCAUUUCUUAUCAUCCCAAACUUUAUCAUUAUUAUAACAAAAAGUCGGCUCAUCCAAUCUCAUAAUGUUGAUGGAAGGGGCUUCAUUUGCCCAUUUGACUUUGAACAUUGACGCUAGAGUUGCUAGCGCGUCUGCUAAAUGAAUCUCUUCCCUUGGGAUAUGGUUGAAUGUGAUCUCUUUAAAGUAUGGAAUUAAUUUCAUCACAUAUUCUCGGUAUGGAAUUAAAUUUGGAUGACGAGUCUCCCAAUCUCCAUUAAUUUGGCUAAUGACCAAGGCAGAAUCCCCAUAUACCUCAAGAUGCUUGAUCCUUAAGUCAAUAGCAGCUUCAAUCCCAUAGAUGCAAGCUUCAUAUUCGGCCAUAUUAUUUGUGCAAUAAAAAUAGAUUCUGACGGUGAAAGGAAUGUGAAAACCAGUGGGAGAAUUAAUGACAACUCCCACACCAUUUCCUAAAGCAUUUGAAGCACCGUCGAACAUGAGCGUCCAUCGCGGUCCUGGUUCUGGACCUUCAUCUGGGUCUGGUCGGUUGUAAUAUUCGUUGAGAAACAAAACGUCUUCAUCGGGAAAAUAAAAUUUCAUCGGCUGGUAAUCCUCCACAGGCUGAUGAGCUAGGUAAUCAGCAAUUAUACUACUCUUGAUGGCCUUCUGAGUUGUAUACUAGAUACCAUAUUCCGUUAAAUUCAUUUGCCAACGGGAAACCCUCUCUGUGAGAGUAGGCUUCUCAAAGAUAUAUUUGAUUGGGUCCAUCUUCUAAAUCAAAAGAGUAGUGUGGGUAUACUUUCUGAAAUAUAAGUAUGAUGUAUUUAAGGCUUUUAAGGUGUGGAAAGCGAUGGUAGAAAACGAGAUCGGAUUGAAGAUCAAAAAGCUCCGAACUAACAAUGGUGGUGAAUAUGUAGACACCAAGUUCGAGAAUUUAUACUAUGAUCAUAGAAUUAGAAUUGAGAGGAUUGUGUCGGGGACGCCUCAACAAAAUGGUGUAGUUGAACGUAUGAAUCGAACGUUGACUGAGAGAGACAGAAGCUUAUGUGUGCAGUCAAGCUUACCGAAGCAGUUCUGGGUAGAGGCAGUCAACACAUCAGCUUACUUAAUCAACCAAGGUCCAUCGGUACCAUUGGAGCUUAGAAUACCAUAAGAGGUAUGAAGCAGAAAAGAGGUAAAACUCUCGCAUCUUAGAGUUUUUGGUUGUGUAGCAUAUGUUCACAUUAGUGAUCAUGGUAGGAAUAAGCUUGAUCCCAAAUCAAAGAUGUGCACUUUCCUCGAUUAUGGUGAGGAUGAGUUGAGUUAUCGCCUAUGGGAUGAUGAAAACAAAAAGAUGAUCCGUAGUAGAGAUAUGAUCUUCAAUGAAAGAGUAAUGUACAAGGACAAACAAAAUACAGGUGCCAACAACUUAGAUUCGAGUGGGCCAGUUUAUGCAGAAGUGGACGAUGUCCUAAAAAGUCCUAUAGUUGAUAAUCCUCAGCUAGAGGAAACAACUGAACAAGGCAGUGAGCAUCAACCUGACAUAUUAGAGCCCCCGACUUCAAACUCAUGUAUUGAGAAGGUCUUUUAGAACUCGUGUUCCUAACAAGAGAUACAUGGACUACAUGUUAUUGAUAGAUGAAUGGGAGCCUGAAGAUUAUGUAGAAGCAUGUUAGACCGCAGAUGCUAGCAAGUGGGAACUUGCUAUGAAAGACGAGACGAAGUCUUUGAUCUCCAAUCAGACAUGGGAACUUGCUGAGUUACCUAUAGGAAAAAGGACACUUCACAAAAAAUGGUUGUAUAGGGUGAAGGAGGAACAUGAUGGCUCCAAGAGAUACAAGGCUCGACUAGUUGUCAAGGGAUUUCAGCAAAAAGAAGGAGUUGACUACACUGAAAUCUUUGCUCCAGUUGUGAAGCUCAAUACUAUCAGGUAUGUGUUAAGUAUUGUUGCCAGGGAAGAGCUCUACCUAGAACAGUUGGAUGUGAAGACCACGUUUCUCCAUGAAGACUUAGAUGAGGAGAUAUACAUGCAUCAACCAGAAGGUUUCUCAAAAGAAGGGAAACAGAAAAUGAUGCGCAGAUUAAAGAAGAGCUUGUAUGGUCUAAAAUAAGCUCCAAGAUAGUGGUAUAGGAUGUUUGAAAGCCUAAUGCACAAGGAAGGUUUCCAAAAGUGCAAUGUCGACCACUGUUGUUUCUUCAAGAGAUAUAAUUCAAGUCAUAUCAUUUUAUUACUUUAUAUCGAUGAUAUGUUACUAGCAGGUCUAGAUAAUGAUGAAAUCAGAAACUUGAAGAUGCAAUUGUCAAAAGAAUUUGACAUGAAGGACAUGGGUCCAGCAAAGAAGAUUCUUAGAAUGAAAAUCACGAGAGAUAAGCAAAGAGGAUUUUUGCAGUUAUCUCAGGCAGAGUACAUCAAUCGUGGUUUGCAAAGAUUCAACAUGGACAAUGCCAAACCAAUUAGCAAACCUUUAGCUAUUCAUUUUUGCUUAUCAAAGGACCAGACCCCAGAGACAGAGGAAGAAAAAGAAUUGAUGGCUAAGAUUCUUUAUGCUUCGGCCAUUGGAAGUUUGAUGUACGCGAUGGUAGGCACGAGGCCAGAUAUUAGCCAUGCAGCGGGAGUUGUAAGCAGGUUUAUGUCAAAUCCAGGUAAAGCUCAUUGGGAAGCUAUGAAAUGGAUUAUGAGGUAUCUACGAGACACUAAGGAGAAGUGUGUGUGCUUUAGUAAAGGUGAAUUGAAAGUACAAGGCUAUGUAGAUGCGGACUUUGCUGGUGAAGUUGAUCACCGAAGAAGCACCACCAGUUACAUAUUUAUUGUUGGUGCUACAACUGUUAGUUGGAUGUCGAGGAUACAAAAGAUCGUUGCUCUAUCCAGUACAGAGGCUGACUGAGUAUGUAGCAGUAACAAGUAACAGAAGCUAGCAAAGAGUUGAUAUGACUUCAAGGAUUGUUGAUAGAGUUGGAAUUCAUUCAAGAGAGGAAUGUUUUACACAACGACAGUCAUAAUGCAAUACAUCUAGCUAAGAAUUCAGCUUUUCACUCUAGAACGAAGCACAUUGAUCUCCGUUAUCACUUCAUUAAAACUCUGCUUGAGGAUGAGAUAAUAACGUUGAGUAAGAUUCUCGGAAGUAAAAACCCAACAGACAUGUUGACAAAAGUGGUGACUAUUGAUAAACUGAAUUUGUGCUCAACUCCAGUUGGCCAGCUAGAAUAACAUACCAGAGAAGGUUGCUGCAUGAUCGAGGUGUGAAGACCGGCUGAAGUCAAUCUUUAAGUGGGAGAUUGUUGAAAAAGUCAGUGUUUUCUUAUUAUUUGGAUGAUCAUUGUUUUCUUAUUAUUUAGAAGUAAAUGGAAGAUGUUUCUACUUUAUAGGAAUUGUAAUGAAUGAGUUACCGAUGAUGCAUCCAAUGCUUUGGCUAUAAAACAUGUCAAAGCCAAAAUAAUAUUAAUUACAACAUUAAGAGCAUUUUCAAUAACUAGAAAAAUACAUUAGUAAGAGAAAUCUGCAUCAGUAAGAGAAAUUUGCAGCAGUAAGAGAAAUCUACAUCAGUCCGUAUUUUUUAUUUACUGGAGUGAGAAAACUUCUUAAAUAUAAUAUGUAUUUUAUCUUUCCAAUAAAUAAAAAAUCUCCAUCCAUCAAUCCGUAUCAAUUUCUAUGUGUUAUUAUUCCGUAUUUAUAUCACUAUUCCACGAAUCUGACUAUAAGAAAAUGUUCCUAUUUUCCAAACAUCUAAUUCAAUAUCUCCUGACAAAAAAAUCACCAUAUCAUUUGUAUAAUAAUUUAUUACUAAUAUAUUUCAAUUUGUGUGUGGCGUAAAAGAAUUGUAUUUCUAUCUCUAUCCUAAAAUCAAUGAUUCUUGACUUUUUUUCAUUCAAAAUGGUCAUGCAUAUAAUGCCCUAUCUAAGAAAAAGAGUAUUUUUUUUAUCUCAAAUCAAAUAUCAUCGUUGUUACCUUCAUCAUUAAUUAAACUUUUUAUUAUAUUAGCUUGUUACUUGAGUGACUUUAAAUUAUUUUAAUUAUAGUUCGUAAUAAUUAUCAACUUGUUUUAUAAGGGUCGAAUAUGUACCCAACAGUCCCUAUUUAUUUUUCAUAUUUUUGAAUGGAUCCCUAUACUUUCAAAUUGUAAAAGUUAUAAAAGUUAUCUGAAAUUUAAGAAUGAAGCGUUUUAUUCUCUAUCCACAAAAAUAUAGAAUUCAAUUAUAAUAUUUGAAUGACCUAGAACCUUAAUUUUUCAAAAUUUUCUAAUUACCCCAUAUAAACACACUUUUAGUUUAUUAGACGUAGGGAUAUUAGUUAAUUAGUACUAAAAGAUAACAAUUUUAUAUCUGAAUAACCAUUUUAUGAUGCAUGAUUAAUAAAACUUAACAUUUUACACGAUAAAAUUUUAAUUUUAAAUUAAAUACAAUAUAACUAAUAUAACAACAAUAGUAUUUUCUUUUAAUGUUUAAGCAAAUAAAAUAAAUCUAGGGGUAAAAUGAAUCUAACACAUCAGAUAUAUCCAUUUUUUCCGCAUUUUUUUUAUAGGAUAGAUUAAAAUUUUAGACAAUCAGUCUCUAGUAUGUUCCCCUAUCCUAUUCUUUUAGAAUUUUUACGAGAACAAAUAUUUAUAUAAAUUUUUAUAUUUUUAAAUUAAAGAAAUAUAGUAUCUGCAGAAGCUUCACUCUUAUUUUUUUUAUAAAAUGAACCAAAAUUUUAGGUCAUACUCACAACUAUGUCCCAUUUUUUUUUCUUUAUUUUUUACUUUUGCAUAGUGUAAUGGGCAUAUAUAAUCAAUUGCCACUCUUAACCUUUUCACUUCUUUAUAUUUAAGAUGUAUGAGUCUCACAACUAUAUUAUAAACCUGUUGAAGUAAUAAUCUACAAGAAAUUUCGUUUAUGUUGUUUUGAACUUGUAACAAAUAAUUAUUUUUCUUAAUGUAAUAAAAUAUAUAUUAAUAGCAUACAAAACUAACAUCAAGGACUAGUUAUUUUAGACUCUUUUCUUUAAAUAUUAGAUGCAUUUCUAAUCUGAAAGUCAUGUGUUAUAAAGUUUCAACAAAUUUGUUAUAUUGAAACAUAUUCAAUAGUUUAAAUCAAAGACUUAUUAAUGCAAUUUUCUUUAAUCAAUUAUUCAAGUUUAAAAAAUAUUUACAACCUUUACAACUUUGACCUUUUUAAAAAUAUACUCAUUAUUUUAGUAAAUAUUGAAAUAAUCGAUAUGAUCUUUAAGAGUUUAAUAUAGCAAAAGAAGCUAACCUGUCACAAUAGUGACUAGACUAAUGGUUGAAUUCUAUUUGUGUAUCUAACUUAAUUGAAACUUUUAAUAUGUUGUAACAAAGUUUUAAAGAAUGUGAUUGUCACUCCGGAUGUUCAUGGCUCGGGAGGUUGAACUCAUAAUAACUCGUAUAAUUUUGAUUUGGAUAUCAAAUUUGAGUUUUAUAAUUUAUGCAUAUGUUAAUUCAACUAAUUGAAAUGACUUUAAGAAUUUCUUAUCAAUUUUAUUAUUAUUUUAAAUAAAAAAUAUAUAAUUAAUAUCUCAUUACUAAUUAUAAUUUUAAAAAAAAAUAAUUUUCACCAACAAUUACUAGACCAAUGAGUUUACGUAAGUUUAGGAUUAAAAGUUUUUUUUAUAUUUUUUUUAUAUUAUUUCAAAUUAUGGAUUUUAUUGAUAAUGUGUCUAGUUGAAUUUUAUAAUAUUAUCAAAUGUUAUAUCGUAUUGAUGAAUUUUAUUAGAUAUUAUAUUAUAUGUUUAAUUAAAUUUAAAUGUUAUAAAUGAGUAUAAUUGUAUAGAUUGUGUAACAUUUUUAAAUCGACAAAAAAAUCAUAAUUUUUUUUAUUUGAAAUAAAUUUGCGAACCCAAUUCAAUCAAACUCAUAAACGAACGAGUCAGUUUUGGCAAUAAAAUUGCAAAUUAGAUAAAAAAAUUAAUUCAUUAAAAUUUGAACUGGUGGGAUAAUCGGUCAAUCCAAACCCGGUCUAACCCAACCCAUAUACACCCCUAAUUAUCACUACUAAAUUAAUUAAAAUAAAAUAAAAUAUUUUUUUAAUAAUAAUAAUAAUGAAAGUUCACUAGUACAUUUAUACAUAUGGAACAUUUAUUAUUGAUAGCACUUUUCAUGCAUCAAGGAACUCAUUAAUUUUUUCUAUUCAAUUUCAUUAUUAUUUAUUCAAUAGUGAGAAGUGGACAAAAGAGUAUUGUCAGAUAUUAAAGUUUUUAUCUUUCUAAAGAGUAAAGGAAUAAGAAAAAGGUUAAAAAAGGGUAAAACUAAGAGAAGGGUGAUAUAGUCAUUUCCCAAGGAAGUGUCAUUCAUAACUACAGAGUCAUGAAAAAACAUAGAAUCAUGUUAUUCCCUCAUUUUUACCCCUUCAAACUUUUUCCUGUCUCCAUCCAAACCUACUGUCCAACUUUUCUUUCCUAUUUCCUUCAAAGCCUAACCCUUCUCUCUCUCUCUCCAUCUAUCUCUCAAAAACACCAAGAAUGAAGAAUAUUAAUAUAACCACUAACAAAUGAUGAUGAUGAAACAAGUUUGAGUUUGCUUCACCAUUUUAAGGAAAAAAACUUCUCGGAAAUCAAAGCUACUAUAAAAACCAUAUCUAUAGAUAUAUACAUAUAUACAUAUAGCUUUGAAAAUCUAUCCAAUUAUAUUGUUGAAUGAACACUUCACAACUUCACAGUACUAAUCCCAUCAAUCUCAUCACAUUCACAAUCUCAAAAAAAUUCUUCUUCUUGCUUCAUCAUUUUCAGGUAAAAAUUUCUCUAUCCUAAAAUAAACAAAAUCUAUAUCCAUUAACCCUUUCACUCUUAUCUCAGGAACCCUAGAACAACAAUCAAAGAGAUAAAUUCACAACAAUUAACCUUGGAUCUGCAAUGGAUUCAAUUCAACAAUUUAUACAAACAUGUAACAAUGAAAACACCUGCAACUUCAUGAAUACAAUAAGCAGCAGCAGCAACAACAACACAACAAGCUUAACAACAACAACAACAACAACAACCACAGCAAGUGGAAGCUCUUCUUCAUCUGCAGCUUCAACCAUAACCAACACACCGAACAGUAGCAGCCGGUAUGAGAAUCAGAAACGCCGUGACUGGAACACUUUUGGUCAGUACCUCAAGAAUCACCGUCCUCCACUUUCU
rnacentral:lncRNA from 1 species